rfam:Rhodobacter sp. SW2 ctg00021, whole genome shotgun sequence.
UGGGGCGUCGCCAAGUGGUAAGGCAGCGGUUUUUGGUACCGCCAUUCGGAGGUUCGAAUCCUCCCGCCCCAG